UAGCUCAGCUGGAUAGAGUACUCGGCUACGAACCGAGCGGUCGGAGGUUCGAAUCCUCCUGGAUGCA
rnacentral:tRNA from 1 species